GAAAGUGAUGAAGAUGCCAGAAAAACAAAUGAGCUGAGAGUAGAAACUUCAACAAUAAGCCAUGUAAGACAAGAGUAUUGUUUUCUGUCUCUCUCAAAUUACAAUCUCUAAAGCCUUGUUUCUGUCCCAGACUCAAUGCUCCCCUUCUAGUCUCUUUUUUAAAUGAAUAUUGGGCAUGUGUGUUCUUCCAAGGAUAGUGAUGAAGACAGCCAAACAGAAGAGCAGAGAGCAGAAACUUUUAAUGAAGCACAGGUGAAACGAAACUACAACCAUUACUCUUUUUCUGUCUCUGAAACUACACAACUUUCACAGUCUUAUCUCUUCUUCUUUUUCUGAUGUUUUUGAUGACUAAUGGACUUUUGUUCUUCCUCUAUGGUCCAUCAUGUUCACAAAAGAGCUCUCAGAGCAAUGAUGACGCUGGCAGCCAAACAGAAGUGCAAAGAGCAGACCUUUCCACAUUGGAACAGAAAGAACUUCAGCAUAUUGCUCACCUGUGGAACACCCACAUCAUUCAGAGAAGCAGAAAUGCAGUUGCACCUAGUGGCCGGCCUCACAUGAUGUACAUGCUUCCUCAGCUUUUUGGGGAAAGGACCAUCUCAAACAUGCAUCUGUGCAAGCAGUACAAACAUGCAGAGCACAAUGCAUACAACGAGGACCCUACCCAUGUGAUGAGACUGCCAUCCACUGGAAGGAUAAGUCCCUAGUCUUAGGGUCACAGACAGUGGUCACUAGGGUUGGGCAUCGUUUGGAUUUUACCGAUGCCCGCCCCCCAAGCAAAGGCCACAGCCCCCCCACCAGCAUCCCGGGCUGACAGGAGACUCCCACGCCAAACCCAACGGGAGAGCAGGCGCAGGGCGAAGGCGGAGGAGGAGGGGAGGACGAGACGGGACAGAGAGCAAGAGAAAGAGUGGCAGAGAAACAUGCAGGCCCCCAGCCCCAAGGGCCACCCAGACGUGCAUGGAGGAGGCAGGAGAGUAACACCAAACCACCCAGGGACCACGAGAGCACCUGAAAGGGAAGCACGCCCGCGCAGAGGCACCCAACACACCCCAGCAAGCCACCCAGAUGUGAUUGAUCCACUGAAGCAGAGGAUGAAUGCUGUAACCAUCACUGCUGUGUUACACAUGGACCAAAGUUUCCUCUCAGCCUGUUGUUAAUAGAAAUGAAACACUUUCUCAUCUGCUUUGCUUCAGUUCAUUUAGGGCCAACAUUGUUGAAUUGAUUGAUCACCACAUUUGACACUACACAGAUAUACAGUAUGUAUGAAUAACGUGCUUCAAGUAGAGAAAAUAAGACAUGAAAGCAUUAGAAAAUGAGUGUUUUUCCUCUUUUUUAAUGUAAUAUCUUUAUGUAGGUCAAACAGUCAAACAUUGUUUUGUGU
rnacentral:lncRNA from 1 species